rnacentral:rRNA from 1 species
AGUUUGAUCCUGGCUCAGAUUGAACGCUGGCGGGAUGCUUUACACAUGCAAGUCGAACGGCAGCACGGACUUCGGUCUGGUGGCGAGUGGCGAACGGGUGAGUAAUGUAUCGGAACGUGCCUAGUAGCGGGGGAUAACUACGCGAAAGCGUAGCUAAUACCGCAUACGCCCUUCGGGGGAAAGUGGGGGACCUUCGGGCCUCGCACUAUUAGAGCGGCCGAUAUCGGAUUAGCUAGUUGGUGGGGUAACGGCUCACCAAGGCGACGAUCCGUAGCUGGUUUGAGAGGACGACCAGCCACACUGGGACUGAGACACGGCCCAGACUCCUACGGGAGGCAGCAGUGGGGAAUUUUGGACAAUGGGGAAACCCGGAUCCAGCCAUCCCGCGUGUGCGAUGAAGGCCUUCGGGUUGUAAAGCACUCCUUUUGGCAGGAAGAAACGGCAUGAUAAUACCGCAACUGACGGUACCUGCAGAAUAAGCACCGGCUAACUACGUGCCAGCAGCCGCGGUAAUGUAGGUGCAAGCGUUAAUCGGAAUUACUGGGCGUAAGCGUGCGCAGGCGGUUCGGAAAGAAAGAUGUGAAAUCCCAGAGCUUAACUUUUGGAACUGCAUUUUUAACUACCGAGCUAGAGUGUCAGGAGGGAGGUGGAAUUCCGCGUGUAGCAGUGAAAAUGCGUAGGAUAUGGAGGAACACCGAUGGCGAAGGCAGCCUCCUGGGAUAACACUGACUAUGCACGAAAGCGUAUAAACAGGAUUAGAUACCCUGGUAGUCCACGCCCUAAACGAUGUCAACUAGCUGUUAGCCUUCGGGCUCGGUAGCGCACAACGCGUGAAGUUGACCGCCUGGGGAGUACGGUCGCAAGAUUAAAACUCAAAGGAAUUGACGGGGACCCGCACAAGCGGUGGAUGAUGUGGAUUAAUCUGAUGCAACGCGAAAAACCUUACCUACCCUUGACAUGUCUGGAAUCCCGGAAGAGAUUUGGGAGUGCUCGCAAGAGAACCGAACACAGGUGCUGCAUGGCUGUCGUCAGCUCGUGUCGUGAGAUGUUGGGUUAAGUCCUGCAACGAAGCGCAACCCUGUCAUUAGUUGCUACGAAAGGGCACUCUAAUGAGGACUUUGCCGGUGACAAACCGGAGGAAGGUGGGGAUGACGUCAAGUCCCCGCUAUUCUUAUGGGUAGGGCUUCACACGUCAUACAAUGGUCGGGACAGAGGGUCGCCAACCCGCGAGGGAGCCAAUCCCAGAAACCCGAUCGUAGUCCGAUCGCAGUCUGCAACUCGACUGCGUAGUCGGAAUCGCUAGUAAUCGCGGAUCAGCAUGUCGCGGUGAAUACGUUCCCGGGUCUUGCACACACCGCCCGUCACACCAUGGGAGUGGGUUUUACCAGAAGUAGUUAGCCUAACCGUAAGGAGGGCGAUUACCACGGUAGGAUUCAUGACUGGGGUGAAGUCGUAACAAGGUAG